GGUGAGAUGACUGAGUUUAGGUGCUAAAUUGUAAAUUUAUGAACGAAGUGAUUAAUAGCUUCUCUUACCA
rnacentral:tRNA from 1 species